AGAGUUUGAUCAUGGCUCAGGAUGAACGCUGGCGGCGUGCCUAAUACAUGCAAGUCGAGCGCGAAGAUCAGGAGCUUGCUCCUGAGAUUUGAGCGGCGGACGGGUGAGUAACACGUAGGCAACCUACCCUUGAGAUUGGGAUAACUACCGGAAACGGUAGCUAAUACCGGAUACGACUUUUCCACAUAAGUGGAACUGUUAAAAGGCGGAUUUAUCUGCCGCUCAUGGAUGGGCCUGCGGUGCAUUAGCUAGUUGGUGAGAUAGUAGCUCACCAAGGCGACGAUGCAUAGCCGACCUGAGAGGGUGAUCGGCCACACUGGGACUGAGACACGGCCCAGACUCCUACGGGAGGCAGCAGUAGGGAAUCUUCCGCAAUGGACGAAAGUCUGACGGAGCAACGCCGCGUGAGUGAUGAAGGGUUUCGGCUCGUAAAACUCUGUUGUUAAGGAAGAACACUUGAGGUAGUAACUGGCCUUGAGAUGACGGUACUUAACCAGAAAGCCACGGCUAACUACGUGCCAGCAGCCGCGGUAAUACGUAGGUGGCAAGCGUUAUCCGGAAUUAUUGGGCGUAAAGCGCGCGUAGGCGGUAAAAUAAGUCUGAUGUGAAAGCCCCCGGCUCAACCGGGGAGGGUCAUUGGAAACUGUUUUACUUGAGUACAGAAGAGGAGAAUCCCGCGGCCAUGGCGGCCGGGAGCAUGCGACGUCGGGCCCAAUUCGCCCUAUAGUGAGUCGUAUUACAAUUCACUGGCCGUCGUUUUACAACGUCGUGACUGGGAAAACCCUGGCGUUACCCAACUUAAUCGCCUUGCAGCACAUCCCCCUUUCGCCAGCUGGCGUAAUAGCGAAGAGGCCCGCACCGAUCGCCCUUCCCAACAGUUGCGCAGCCUGAAUGGCGAAUGGACGCGCCCUGUAGCGGCGCAUUAA
rnacentral:rRNA from 1 species